UGGGGAAUAUUGCACAAUGGGGGAAACCCUGAUGCAGCAACGCCGCGUGAGUGAAGAAGGUCUUCGGAUCGUAAAGCUCUGUUGUACGGGACGAUAAUGACGGUACCGUACAAGGAAGCCACGGCUAACUACGUGCCAGCAGCCGCGGUAAUACGUAGGUGGCGAGCGUUGUCCGGAAUUACUGGGUGUAAAGGAUGCGUAGGCGGAUAUUUAAGUCAGAUGUGAAACCCCCGGGCUUAACUCGGGGCAUGCAUUUGAAACUGGGUAUCUGGAGUGCAGGAGAGGAAAGCGGAAUUCCUAGUGUAGCGGUGAAAUGCGUAGAUAUUAGGAAGAACACCAGUGGCGAAGGCGGCUUUCUGGACUGUAACUGACGCUGAUGCAUGAAAGCGUGGGGAGCAAACAGGAUUAGAUACCCUGGUGGUCCACGCCGUAAACGAUGGGUACUAGGUGUGGGAGGUAUCGACCCCUUCCGUGCCGCAGUAAACACAAUAAGUACCCCACCUGGGGAGUACGGUCGCAAGAUUA
rnacentral:rRNA from 1 species